rnacentral:misc_RNA from 1 species
UCAAACUUGGUCAUUUAGAGGAAGUAAAAGUCGUAACAAGGUUUCCGUAGGUGAACCUGCGGAAGGAUCAUUAUUGAAUGAACUUGGUUGGGCUGUUGCUGGCUCUUAGGGGCAUGUGCACGCCUGACACCAAUUUCUUUAACCAACUGUGCACCUUGUGUAGACCUUUGGAAAAAAAAUUUUGCUCUGGAGGUGAAACCCAGUACUUUUUUUUGGGAUUGCAGGAUUAAAAAGUCCAGCUCUUCCUGGGUUUCCAAGGGUCUAUGUCCUUUUCAACAUCUCUGUAUGUCAUUGAAACUAUGGAAAAGGCAGUUUAAUGCCUUUAAAAUUGUAAUACAACUUUCAACAACGGAUCUCUUGGCUCUCGCAUCGAUGAAGAACGCAGC